AGUGAACGCUGGCGGUAGGCCUAACACAUGCAAGUCGAACGGCAGCACAGUAAGAGCUUGCUCUUACGGGUGGCGAGUGGCGGACGGGUGAGGAAUACAUCGGAAUCUACUUUUUCGUGGGGGAUAACGUAGGGAAACUUACGCUAAUACCGCAUACGACCUACGGGUGAAAGCAGGGGAUCUUCGGACCUUGCGCGAUGGAAUGAGCCGAUGUCGGAUUAGCUAGUUGGCGGGGUAAAGGCCCACCAAGGCGACGAUCCGUAGCUGGUCUGAGAGGAGGAUCCGGCACGAGGGAGUGACGAGCCGGACCGGGACCGAGAGGGGGGCAAGACGGGGAAAUGUGGCAGCAGGGGGGAAAGCCUCACCAAGGCAGGCAGCGUGGGGCAGGAAGGCCUUGGGGUUGAAAACCCCUUUUGUGGGGAAAAAAAAGUAGGAGGUUAACCCCCCUUUGUGUGACGGUAGCCAAAAAAAAAGCACCGGCUAACUUCGUG
rnacentral:rRNA from 1 species